GAGGAAUAUUGCCCAAUGGACGCAAGUCUGAGGCAGCAACGCCGCGUGGGCGAUGAAGGCCUUCGGGUUGUAAAGCCCUUUUCUGGGGGAAGAGGAAGGACGGUACCUCAGGAAUAAGUCACGGCUAACUACGUGCCAGCAGCCGCGGUAAUACGUAGGUGGCAGGCGUUAUCCGGAUUCACUGGGCGUAAAGCGCGUGCAGGCGGUUUCGUAAGUCGGACGUGAAAGCUCCUGGCUUAACUGGGAGAGGUCGUUCGAUACUGCGGGGCUUGAGGUCGGGAGAGGGACGUGGAAUUCCCGGUGUAGUGGUGGAAUGCGUAGAUAUCGGGAGGAACACCAGUGGCGAAGGCGACGUCCUGGCCCGCACCUGACGCUGAGACGCGAAAGCGUGGGUAGCGAACGG
rnacentral:rRNA from 1 species